rnacentral:rRNA from 1 species
CUGAUCCAGCCAUGCCGCGUGAGUGAAGAAGGCCUUCGGGUUGUAAAGCUCUUUCAGGUGGGAAGAAAUCGCACUUUCUAAUACAAGGUGUGGAUGACGGUACCAUCAGAAGAAGCACCGGCUAACUACGUGCCAGCAGCCGCGGUAAUA